rnacentral:rRNA from 1 species
GAUGAACGCUGGCGGCGUGCCUAAUACAUGCAAGUCGAGCGAACGGACGAGAAGCUUGCUUCUCUGAUGUUAGCGGCGGACGGGUGAGUAACACGUGGAUAACCUACCUAUAAGACUGGGAUAACUUCGGGAAACCGGAGCUAAUACCGGAUAAUAUUUUGAACCGCAUGGUUCAAAAGUGAAAGACGGUCUUGCUGUCACUUAUAGAUGGAUCCGCGCUGCAUUAGCUAGUUGGUAAGGUAACGGCCUACCAAGGCGACGAUGCAUAGCCGACCUGAGAGGGUGAUCGGCCACACUGGAACUGAGACACGGUCCAGACUCCUACGGGAGGCAGCAGUAGGGAAUCUUCCGCAAUGGGCGAAAGCCUGACGGAGCAACGCCGCGUGAGUGAUGAAGGUCUUCGGAUCGUAAAACUCUGUUAUUAGGGAAGAACAUAUGUGUAAGUAACUGUGCACAUCUUGACGGUACCUAAUCAGAAAGCCACGGCUAACUACGUG